CCCUCUCCCGAAAUCCCCAACUUUCCCCCCUAAAAUUCCUUAUUUCCCACAUCCAAGAAAGAAACCCAGAAGCUGGGAAAAUCAAAAUCAAAGAACCCAGAACCAGGAAACCAAGGAAACGAUGAGAAAAAGAGAAAAAGGGAUUAGAAAUUGAAAGGUACCGAGUGGAAGGGUUGUCAAUAGGAGGGCAUGAAACUUGCAUUAUUUUUCCCACUCUUAACCUAGCAUUUGAUAUCGGUCGAUGCCCACAACGUGCCCUUUCUCAAGAUUUUCUUUUUAUUUACUCAAUCCAACUCCAUUAAUUCCUUUACCUUCUUUCAAUCUUAAUCUAAAUUUUCUUUAAUUUAGGGAAACAAUUAUUUUUUAUGGCCGAUCAUCAGUUCUGCUUAUUUUGCAGUGAAAAGGAAAGGAAGAUUUAGUUUUCAAGGAAAAAAGUAUGGAUUCGGUGCAGUUCAGUGUUGCUUGGAUGGAGGACAGUGACAUACAUAAUCUGCGGAAGGAGACUUUGCACCAGAAAUAUGAACUUGUAAAAAGGAGGACUAUCAAUGACAAUUCUGCAUAUGGCUCUCAUGUUAUGCAAUUUGGUGAUAUAGGAAUUAGCAUGGACAAUCUCUUCACAUGUUUGGGUACCAAUCCUGCUAAUGAUAACUUCAAAUUCGUCGAUGGGAACUCAUUGUUGCCACCCACCAAAGCUGUUAAUCAGCGCUAUGCUGAUCUUGUCCAUUUCUGGGAUAAGUAUCGCAAGGCACCUGAUGUCUUGGUUAGGAAGGUUGAAGCUCAAAAGCAGGUUAUGGAAGCCAUGUCCCAUAGAAUGCAUGUAGACAACAGUAUACAACUCAUUGGAAAGCUGUUAUUCGGAGUCAAAAGAGGCCCUGAAGUUUUAAACACUGUUCGACCAGCUGGUCGACCUCUUGUUGAUGACUGGAAACGCCUUAAGAAAAUGGUAAUAUCCUUGAUUCUCAGUCCCUCUUCCUCAUUUUCCUUUUUCUUAUCAUGUAACUUACAAAGAUGCUCUGUUCAUCGACACAUGUGAGAACCUUUGAAACGCACUGCGGAUCACUGGCUCAGUAUGGGAUGAAACACAUGUGUUCCCUUGUUAACAUUUGCAAUGCUGCCAUUGAGACAGAAAAGAUGGGUGAGGCAUCAGCACAAGCUUGUUUCAACAUUCCUUCAGGACAUUGGGGUUCUCUUAGGAAAGGGUUCAGUGCAUAAAAUAUAGCAGAACUUUCAACUAUUGAAGACCUUAACUUUUGAAUACAUUCGUCAACCACGUAUAUUUAAUAGAACCACUUAUCGAUUGACUCAUACAUAUGAAGGGUGACUAAAUUUGUUUUGAAAAGAAAUGAACAUGAAAAUAAUUGCAGGGAUCCUAAACCGAUAAGCUUUGGUAUGAAGAAUAUCGAUAUACUGUCUUUUUUUGGUAUGAAGGAAGUUUUAGUUAGUUGGCCAUUAUUAAGGUCAGAACUAGAGUCAUUGUUUGGCUGCACUUCGAUUUUUGUUAAGUUGAGCUCAAAUUUUAUUAGUUUUUUUGGCUCAUUGAGCUUAUAUUUUCUUUUUAUACAUGCAAAAUGGAACUGGAUUUAAUUGCAGUUAAAAAAUGUGCAAGUUCUGUGCCUGUGCCGCUGAUCUUUUUGUUUAUUUUGUGGCACUAAUUCAUAGAUUAGAAAUCAUGUCUUCUCGGUAAGGGAACGUUGGUUUAGUACUAAUCUUCUCUUCUUUUGUUUGUCUUGUAUCUAUUUAAUAUUUUUUUCUUUUUUGCAUUUGUAUCAUUUUACGUGACAGUGGCUGUCCUAAGGCAUACCACCCAGCCUGUAUCAAAAGGGAUGAGGCAUUCUUUAAAUCCGAGGCAAAAUGGAACUGCGACAUACAAGGAUAAAGAAGGUAUCAUGCAGCAGCAGUUGUUGGCAUUUAUCCCAAGACAUCACAAGCACUACAUUUUACCGACAAUUUUUUUUAAGCCAGAUUCUGUCAGCAAAAAGGUACAUUUUAGUCCACAGUUACAGACAGAUCCUAGGGAAAAUUAUCUCCAUGCUAAAUCUUGUCUUCAGCCUUCAGGUAUAGUGUUUCUUAGCAAGUAGGAACUCUUCUAUGUUAGUUUUUUUCUGCAUUGUUUUGAGGGGGCCAAAGCAUAAUUUUCCUUUAUAUUGAUUUAUAAUUUGAUCAUAUGUAAGGGGUUAUAAUUUGAUCAUAUUAUUGGUUUUAUCAACUGUUGGGAGAUUGUUCUCAUAACACUAGCUACUGGUCCAUUCAUUGUUGCUGCUGGAGGCAUAUCUAAUAUAUUUCUUCAUAGGCUUGCUGAAAACAUCCAAGAUGCUUAUGGUGAGGCAGCUAGCAUUGCUGAACAGGUUUUUCUCUUCUCUCCUGGUUCCAUUUCUUUCAACCAGACUUAUUUUUCUUAAUGUUGUUAAGUGAAUUUAAAUUGGUUAUUUUGCUUAAUGUUCAUACAGUUCUAACCCUAUUCUUACAUCAAUGGUGUAUGUUUCAAACCAGGCAUUAUUUUAUUUUCUAACCCUCAUUUUUUAGCAUACUUUUCUUAACAUGGAAGAAUAAGCUAUGAUUUCGACCUUGAUGUUGAUGGCAGUCGCAUUAUUUAACACCAAAACCCAUAUUUUAUGGGUUUUUCAAAGAAGAAAAAUGCUAAGAAUAGAUGGUCUCUGCAAAAAGAUGGGCUACAAGGACGCCAAGUUACUGAUGCUUUACGGGCUCUGAUAGCCAAUGGCGUUGAAGCGGGGACUAUCCAGUGUGGGCGUCCAAAGGAACAGAAGUUCUGGAUCUCGUUUGCGUACCGUGAUUCUUUUUUUCUUCUCAAUUUUGAUGAUCAUUGCUUUGAGUUCAUUACAAUUCUGCUGCUUUCAGUUUCAUGCUCAUUGCUUUGAGUUCAUUGCAAGAUUUCCUUGAUUAAAUAAAUGUAUUAUAUCUUUUAUUACCAAGAUUUACUUGAUUAAGAAAAUGCAUUGUAUGUUUUAUUA